rnacentral:rRNA from 1 species
AUUGAACGCUGGCGGCAUGCCUUACACAUGCAAGUCGAACGGCAGCAUGGGUGCUUGCACCUGAUGGCGAGUGGCGAACGGGUGAGUAAUGCAUCGGAACGUACCCGGAAGUGGGGGAUAACGUAGCGAAAGUUACGCUAAUACCGCAUAUUCUGUGAGCAGGUAAGCGGGGGAUCGCAAGACCUCGCGCUUCCGGAGCGGCCGAUGUCGGAUUAGCUAGUUGGCGGGGUAAAGGCCCACCAAGGCAACGAUCCGUAGCGGGUCUGAGAGGAUGAUCCGCCACACUGGGACUGAGACACGGCCCAGACUCCUACGGGAGGCAGCAGUGGGGGAUUUUGGACAAUGGGGGCAACCCUGAUCCAGCCAUGCCGCGUGAGUGAAGAAGGCCUUCGGGUUGUAAAGCUCUUUCGGCUGGGAAGAAAUCGCAUCUCCUAAUACGGGGUGUGGAUGACGGUACCAGCAUAAGAAGCACCGGCUAACUACGUGCCAGCAGCCGCCGUAA